CUCGCCUGAGACCCACAGGGAGGGGUGGGAUCUCAGCCCCACCCGGCAUCGCUGACUGAGGCAGCUCUGCCUCCAAUAGCUGAGUCGAGACGCCAAGGCCACCGGCUCUCUUUGCCAAGAUUCUCCUGAGGCUUCUGGGCAAGUCUCCCCCGGGGGGCAGGAGGAAUCAGCAGGAGCGAUCAGGUCGCUGCCACUCACCUCCAGGGCUCCCUCCGCCCCCUUGCACGUCAGGCUCAGAGCACGAGCUGCGAGCUGCGAGGACAUGGCCGGGUUGGGCCUGGAGGGGGCAAGCGUCCCAGGCAGAGGAGUGGGGUUUCUCCUGGAAAUUCUCAGAGUGGGGAUGGGCCCAGUGCUUGUUAGAGAGAUGGUCCUCGGUCUGGGAUCCUAAGGGACAAAUGUGGGGUCUGCAGUGGUCUCUCAGCUGGACGCAAAAUUGCACAGAAAAGCAGGUGAUUAACAUCAAACCAAAGAGCCUCCCCAGGCAGAGCCAGGAAACCGGGUGCACCAGCUGGAAUUAAUUCAGUUCUGUUGUCUGCGCUUGGGGCCGGCGGGGAGGGCGAGAAGACAGCUUGCAGAAACAACUAAAUAAGCGCUACAGGCCAGUGGCUCGGCCCGGGGCCCCUGGGUCCCACCGGGAGCCGUGCCAGCCCCCGGGGCGGUGAACCGGCUGCCCAGCAGUGGGGACGCCUCUGAGCUCAGCGAGGAGCCUUCCUCAGGGAGUACACAGUGUGGGCAGCCUGCCCCCACCCGGCCUCAGUCCCCAAGGGUGCCCCGGCCCCUCGGCACGGCACCGGAGCUCACCAGCCUGCGCCCCGGCCUACGCUCAGUCUUCCUUCUGCCUUGACCACGUCGCCCAGGACAGCUUGCUGCCCCGUGUCCCGCCAUCCCUCAGACCGAAGCCCCUCUGAGGUUCUGGAUGCUCUCCGCCCGCCCCCAUGGACCCCUGGCACCUCACACACGGGGGCUUGUCCCCAACCUCCCAGCUCCUGCCAGGCUCUGCUCCUGUUUGCAUCCUGCCGGCCCGGGGUGUGGGCUCAGCAAACCGCCGGGUGGGGCACAGGGAGGUGGCACUUGGGCACAGGGCAGAGCGGGCAGAGAGGACCAGCCAGCAGAGGACUCAGGACAGCUUCCCCGCCCGAGCCUCUGGGGCUGGCUUAAGGAAGCGAGGGCGGGUCUCUGGGCUCCCGAGCUGUAAGAGGGUUCCUGUGUGGUCCCGCCCACAGGGCGCUGCUCCGGCCACCUGGGACACUGGCACUGGUGGGUGAGGAGGGCGCGUCCGUGGGCGGGCCGCUGGACAGCCCUGGAGGGUGGUCCCCGCCGCUGCCCAGGGUGGGGGUCGGAGCCCAUCCCCAGGAGGCGGCCCCCUCUGUCCACACCCACAGGGAUGGGCCAGGACCCCUCCUGGCCUAGGAAGGAGGUGGCCUCCCCUCCCAGGGGAUCCCUGUGUCCCCAGGACUUAGCUGGCCUGGUGCUGGGUCCACCCCCGUGUCCCCCUGUCUGUGCUAUUGGGGAGCCUGGUGAGAAAUGACCCUGCCGGCCCAGUGGCCGUGCUGCUCCAUGCCGUCACCGCGUCCCCGCCCGGUCCUUCCCCUUCCCGGGAUACAGCCUCGGAGCCGCCAAGCCCGCUGCGCAUCUGUGCCCUUGAGAAGCAGCAGAGGAGAAGCCGGCUGCCCUCAUUAGAGGGCUGAUUAAUGGCCCCAAACAGCCGGCCCCGUGAGCGGUCCCCGCCCGACGUGGCCGAGACAGGCAGCUCUUGGCAUCCCAUCCAUCGCAGGCCUGAUGGUGUGGGAGAGGUGACCGGAAGGCGAGGGCAGAGCCGGGCUGAUGGACGAGGCAUCCGGCGCCGUGGGCCAUAUGGAUGGCAGAGAGGCGCAGCCUGCAGGCCUUGACCUCAGCGGAGCAGGGGACUCAGCUGAGCUUCAGAGGAACACGCCCUCGGGGCAGAGUCUCUGCGUGGACUACAGCAGCUGCCCAGCUGGCCCUGUGGUCCAGCGCCUAUUGCUGUGCUGAGCCUGGCAUAGCCAGUCCAGCCUGUGCCCAGCCAGGCGGUGGGGCCUCACCUCAGCCAUGGAGAGGGGGCACAGGUGAGCAUUGGAGGUGGCAAGAGGCGAGGUCGCGGGCAGGAGUCCCGGGGGAAGGACAGGCAGUGCGCCCCUUGUGGGUGGCUGGGUCAGACAGGAGCAAGAAGCGCUCAGUGCCUCCUGGCCUCGAGGCGGUCCUGCUCUGCUCCCCAGGCUGGCAGGGCCCCCGGGGGCGGGGGUCAGCGUGGGGUGGGGGACACGCGGGGGGCUCCGCCAGCAGGACCCUGCAGACAGCCCUGCCCCUCCGGUCUGAGCCGGGGUGACGCGGCGACUUCUCGUCAGUCGUCACAGGAUGACACGGGUCCCUCCGAGCAUCUGGGAGCAGGCCUCAUCUCCGGAACUGUUAGCUGGGACCAAGGUCAGGAGUUGCAGGAAAAGUGCAGCUGCGGGUAGAGACGGAGUCUCACCCCAGACACAAGAACAAAGUCAUCACAGUAAACCCUGAGGGUGCCCGGCGCUGGCGUGUUUGGGUAGAAAUAAACUCCCCCGGUUUUCAGGAGAGGACGGUUCAUCGUUUUUAUCUUGUCGGACCAGAGCUUGGAGAUUUUCUUAGAGAGAAGUGACUGAGCACCCAGAUGAGAGCCGUGCUCUCGCGGAAAAAUGAAGAGGGUGGAAGGAAAAGGCAGCAAAGCCACUCAGGGCGCCUUCCCGGGACCCGGCACAGCUGUGCAGGAGCCGAGGUUCAGCCAAGGCUCACCCACCACGCAGGGCUGACGCACCUGCAAACCAGCCUACACGGCGAGCAGGGGAAUCAAGGACACUUCAUGCUCAGGAAAUGCUUAGGUGAAAAUAAAACAGUGAUUUGUAUGUUGUUAGCGGCUUAAUCCUCCGACUGAAACCAAAGGAGCCCAUUUUCCAUAACCAGAUGUCCAUUGUCUUGGUGUUGUCCUUCAUGCCGUGCGUCAGACACUAUUUCUUUCUUU